rnacentral:lncRNA from 1 species
CCCGCCGACUUUGUUUGGCGGCAAGAGGACUUCCAAGACCGCCAUUUCCCGGGAGUCGUAUUCGUCAAAUGCACCUCGUGUUUGACAAUAGAUAUAGGGGCGCCUACGGGACCGGCUUAUAUGGUCUUCGUGGCCCUUUACGCUCGGGUUGAUGGACGGUUGGUGGGACCCUUGCAGCUGUAUGAUGAUGGGCCGGGGCAGGGUGGUAAUCCUGCGGAGUAGGAGGUGCAGAGAGGUGCUGGACGUGUGGGAGGAUUUUUGGUUUUGAUUGUUUAACAACAUGUAUAUAACAAAUGAGAGGCGAAAUAGUUAGUGUUCGUGGUAUAUAGUGUUUUUUUGUAGAAAUUCCCCUCUCAAUCUCAUCUUCCCCACGUGUAAAUAAAGAAACCAAGUUUAUAACAAAUAGAGCCGAG